CAAUAGCGUAUAUUAAAGUUGUUGCAGUUAAAAAGCUCGUAGUUGGAUUUCGGGGUGGCCUGCCUGGUCCACCGCAAGGUGAGUACUGGUCAGCCGCCCUUCCUCUCGAAAGCCCCGACUGCUCUUCAUUGCAGUGGUCGGGUAGUUCGGGCCGUUUACUUUGAAAAAAUUAGAGUGUUCAAGGCAGGCCGUCGCCUGAAUACAUUAGCAUGGAAUAAUGGAAGAGGACCUCGGUCCUAUUUUGUUGGUUUCUAGGGCCGAAGUAAUGAUUAAGAGGGACAGUUGGGGGCAUUCGUAUUUAAUUGUCAGAGGUGAAAUUCUUGGAUUUAUGAAAGACGAACUAGUGCGAAAGCAUUUGCCAAGGAUGUUUUCAUUAA
rnacentral:rRNA from 1 species